CCCUCAUCCUAAGUUACCAGCGGGUAAUGCCGGGCACUAUAAGGAAACUGCCAGUGAUAAACUGGAGGAAGGUGGGGAUGAUGUCAAGUCAGCACGGCCCUUAUGGGGUGGGCUACACACGUGCUACAAUGGCGACUACAAUAGGUUGCAACGUCGCAAGGCUGAGCUAAUCCGUAAAAGUCGUCUCAGUUCGGAUUGUCCUCUGUAACUCGAGGGCAUGAAGUCGGAAUCGCUAGUAAUCGUGGAUCAGCAUGCCACGGUGAAUACGUUCUCGGGUCUUGUACACACUGCCCGUCACGCCAUGGGAAUUGGCUUAACUCGAAGCUGGUGCGCCAACCGUAAGGAGGCAGC
rnacentral:rRNA from 1 species